GAUGAACAAUUUACCAUUGCCACCACGUCAUCGACUCAACUUGGACUCGCUCCUUGCUAACUCUUCAUCGUCUCAAUAUUGACGGUGUCCGUACCAAAUAGCAGAAGUGAAUGCAACUUUCUUUUGGUGAUUAGAAAUCCAUAGAUUGUAUUAAUACUCAAAGUUGCAAUUUUAUAUUUUAUUAUAGUAACGAUUUUUCGUCAACACCAAACUACACGGACCAAAUUAACCCCACAUGUUUUUUGACAGUUGCACAAAUAAUUAAUUCCGAUGAAAGUGGAUUGAACAGGAAAAAAGAUAAUUAGUUUCUCUCAAUAAAAUAGUAUUUACACACGUUUUAUGAUAAAACGGCCUUGCAGUAAUUACAUAUAAAUAUAUAGAAGAUG